UGGGAAUUUUGGACAAUGGGCGAAAGCCUGAUCCAGCAAUGCCGCGUGUGUGAAGAAGGCCUUCGGGUUGUAAAGCACUUUUGUCCGGAAAGAAAUCCUUGGCUCUAAUACAGUCGGGGGAUACGGUACCGGAAGAAUAAGCACCGGCUAACUACGUGCCAGCAGCCGCGGUAAUACGUAGGGUGCAAGCGUUAAUCGGAAUUACUGGGCGUAAAGCGUGCGCAGGCGGUUUGCUAAGACCGAUGUGAAAUCCCCGGGCUCAACCUGGGAACUGCAUUGGUGACUGGCAGGCUAGAGUAUGGCAGAGGGGGGUAGAAUUCCACGUGUAGCAGUGAAAUGCGUAGAGAUGUGGAGGAAUACCGAUGGCGAAGGCAGCCCCCUGGGCCAAUACUGACGCUCAUGCACGAAAAGCGUGGGGGAGCAAAA
rnacentral:rRNA from 1 species